GUGUGGAGAAGGAGAAUGUGAUGCAGGCUGAACACAUCAGCUGAGGUUUUAAUUGGAGAUGAGUGAUUCUGAUGGAGAUGGUAAAAGUGAAGGCAGGAAGUGUUGUGUUUGGGAGGAGGCUGCCUAAGUAGGCACCAGUUUAAGAGCUAACACAGUCCUUAUUUCUCUUAAUUCACAUAUAAUCAAGUGCAAAUAAGACUUCAUAAGCCUUUGAGUUUCCUGAGGGUUCUUCAGCACGUUCCUCUCUGGGAACAUUGUGUGUUUCUAUGUCGAACCAUACAACAUGCAGUCGGUUCUAAGGCUCUAUCCAGCUGUAGGGUUUUUUUUGGGAACUAUUUUCAUUGUUGGAGCAAAAAUAAACAGAAAUAUUUGGCCAUAGUGCAUGUGAAAUGUCAGGAAGUCCAUAUUAAAUCCUUGUUUGUAGAAGUGUAGUGUGGAAGCAAGCGGUUGUACUGAAUAUCGGCGCGGCUGCGGUUACCCGUGGCCUCGUCCCUGUAGCCCGGUCACGGUCCUGUUCAUAUUCACUGCAGCAGCUCUCUUCCUCAUGUGAUAUUGCUUCAUUAUUUUUUACACACCAGUCCUUAUUUCUUCUUUUUAAAUUAUUAUCAAUUUCUAAUUGUUCCAUCGAAUCAUUUCUGUUGUUUCCUUUAAAAUCCUUCAGAUUGUCAUCUCUAGGCUAGUUUUAUACACUACUCUACUUUUAUACACUAGGCUACUUUUAUACACUACUCUAGUUUUAUACACUACUCUACUUUUAUACACUAGGCUAUUUAUAUACACUACUCUAGUUUUAUACACUAC
ensembl:lncRNA